GGGGAUAAUUUCAUGGCCUUGACAAGGAACAACCAAAUUUGAAUGUACAAACAUGAUAACUACCAGCUGAUAACUACACUUUUUUUUUUCUUUUCCUAUAUAAUGAAUUGAUCUUUCAACUUGUAAUCCCAAUUUCUUACAUUGUAUACUUAGAAACCUAACCUAGAUUCUGGGAAACCAAAUCUGCCAGCAAGAGCCUGACGCUAUUAUGCCUCUCUUACUAUCCUUCCAAGGUGAGAGAGCUGACCUGUGCCGCCAUUAUAAUCCACCGCAUUACUCCUUGCUCGAUCUUGUCCAGAAAAAACCCUUUUUCCUAGUAGAAGGGCUCUUGGAGAAGGAUUUUGACCCCUUUGAACCAAAUGAAAAAUGACGCAGCAAGAAGGGCUUUCCUGAAGAGAUCUUCAUACUGCUGGAACUUGAGCUCAUCUUGAGACGCCUUCCACCAUGUCCGCCACUUUUCUGUCGAUCAAAUAAAGCAAGAUUGCCACUAAAAUCACUGUCAACAACCCGAUUCCGGAAUCUCUUUCGAGCUUUCAAGUCCAUCUGACUUUUCAAUGCUUUCUCUGACAUCUUCAGUGCCUGCUUCUCCCCAAAAGUACAAACAGGACAUGCUGGAUCAUACUUGUUGAAUUCUGGCGUCAUACUCUCCAAACAAUCGGCAUGAAAAACGUGGCCACAAUUCAGUACAGAUACAACAGCAAUUUCAUUUGAGGACCAUGAAGAUCUCUCUGUUAACAGCUUUGUACAAAUGCCACAGGUUUGGAGAUCUAUAGAAGGAGAACCAGAACUCCGACCACUAGCUCUGCUCAUCUUGUCACGGUGGAAACCCAUGGAUUCACUAUCAAAUGACCACCUAUCUCUACGAGGAUUUGCAAGCAGGUCAGAGAAGGCGGGAACAGACCAUCCAUCUGAUGAUCCACCAUUUGAGCCCCUGGUUGAUUCAUUACUCCAACCAGGGAGCAUGAACGAAGAUGAUUCUUCAGAAAUUGAGAAUGUAGGUGACUUUAUUCCGGGUAUAUGACUAUCAGAAACUCGUCGUCCCAGCUGGUGGCCGGAAGAAUACUGAGGCAAAGGAGUAGAAUUGGCAGGAAGCAACUGACUUUUUGUUGAUAAAGGAGAUGCAGAUAAUGAUGAAACAGAGAGAUCUGAUGAAGACAGCUUUAAAGGAGAGGGGCAUGGCACUGCUGAUGACUCAAAUGAUUCUUUGACCUCCGUGGAAUUUCUCACGACCGAUGUAUCAGAUAGAGGAAGCAUCGAGUUCCCCGUGUUGCAAUCAGAAGCUGGUGACUUCUGCAAUGCAAGUGAUCGAAAACUAUCCAAUGGACUACCCUCUUCAGAGGCAUAAAGGGUUUCUACAGUUGUUCCAGAUUUAAACUCUAAUCUAUCAUUUCCACCAACUCUAUCAGAAGACCAAUUGACUGAUGUCUCCUCUCCAGCAACACGUCCCCGAUUAUCCCAACGAAAGCUCCAAGAAGGCGAGUAUCGAACAUUGCUCUGUAAAGUUUCGCCCGUUGAUCCAUUUAUAACCGCUCUAUCUUUAGCAGCAACACAACAAGCUGAACCCAUUUUUUCUCAAGUACAAAAUGUUAAUUUCAUAGGCAGCUGAGAAU
rnacentral:misc_RNA from 1 species